UUUAACCGGGUGUGAUUCUCCCACUCUCCCUCUAAAUCUGGAUCGAUUCCCAAAUCUUUAACCACCUAUUGAGGAUGCCCAUUCAUCCUCCUUUUUGCAGCCUCUUCAUUCUCAAUCUGGAUGUCAGGUUACAAAGGAUCUUGAAAUCACCUUCAUCAGAUACUCAGAAAUUUUGAAUCGCUUGGAGUCGACUCUAGGUCGCUUCAUUAUGGAUAGCAUAGAAAGGGGAAGGCGAAGUCGGGUGUAGGCUCCUGGAAGUGAUGUCUUCUAAUGCACUCAAUCGACCUCGGUUCUAUCCAUAAGGCACUGAAUCUUACCACACACCCACUUUCAGAACCUUUUUUCUAUUAAAAGGAUCAGUUUUGAAUGAUGCUUGUGUGAAUCAAUUAAAAAUGAUGACAGAAAAGAUUGUUUGGUGAACCAAGAGAGGAGCUUUAUUCAGGUUACCAUGAAUCUGUACCAGAGGGAGAGGGAUUGAGGCUACAGAGAUACAAAGUGAAACAAUGGAGAUGGAGGUUCAAUUUCCGAAAAGCAGGUAUUCAUCCAUUGAUUUAUAACACACUUUUAAUUUAUUUAUUUUUUUUGAACGUUGAGAAUCUUUAACAGUU
rnacentral:lncRNA from 1 species